rnacentral:rRNA from 1 species
AUACGUAGGUCCCAAGCGUUAUCCGGAUUUACUGGGCGUAAAGAGUCUGUAGCCUGAUAUGUAAGUCUGUUUUCAAAUACUCCGACUCAAUCGGAGACAGGGGAUAGAUACUGCAUAUCUGGAAGUUAUUGGGGGUUAGUGGAAUUUCCGGUGGAGCGGUGAAAUGCGUUGAUAUCGGAAAGAACGCCGAAAGUGAAAACAGCUAACUACAAUAAACUUGACGGUCAGAGACGAAAGCUUGGGGAGCAAACGGGAUUAGAUACCCCGGUAGUCCAAGCUGUAAAUUAUGCAUGCUAGAUAUUUUGGACCCUUGUGGCCUGGAGUGUCGUAAUCUAACGAGUUAAGCAUGCCGCCUGGGUAGUAUAUUCGCAAGAAUGAAACUCAAAGGAAUUGACGGGG